rnacentral:rRNA from 1 species
AACGUAGGAGGCAAGCGUUAUCCGGAGUUACUGGGCGUAAAGCGCGUGUAGGCGGUUGAGCAGGUCCGAUGUGAAAGCUCCCAGGCUAAACCGGGAGAGGUCAUUGGAAACCGCUCGGCUAGAGUGUGGUAGAGGGAUGUGGAAUUCCGGGUGUAGUGGUGAAAUGCGUAGAUAUCCGGAGGAACACCAGUGGCAAAGGCGGCAUCCUGGACCAUCACUGACGCUGAGACGCGAAAGCAUGGGGAGCGAACGGG